rnacentral:rRNA from 1 species
GGCGAACGGGUGAGUAACACGUGAGUAACGUGCCUUUCAGUGGGGGAUAACAGUUCGAAAGGACUGCUAAUACCGCAUGAGACCACAGCGGCUGCGGCUGCAGGGGUCAAAGCCUUCGGGCGCUGAAAGAUCGGCUCGCGGCCCAUUAGGUAGUUGGCGGGGUAAUGGCCCACCAAGCCUGAGAUGGGUAGCUGGUCUGAGAGGAUGAUCAGCCACACUGGGACUGAGAUACGGCCCAGACUCCUACGGGAGGCAGCAGUGGGGAAUAUUGCGCAAUGGGCGAAAGCCUGACGCAGCAACGCCGCGUGUGUGAUGAAGGCUCUCGGGUCGUAAAGCACUGUCAGAAGGGAAGAAAUAAAUGACGGUACCUUCAAAGGAAGCACCGGCUAACUCCGUGCCAGCAGCCGCGGUAAUACGGAGGGUGCAAGCGUUGUUCGGAAUCAUUGGGCGUAAAGCGCGCGCAGGCGGUUUGCCAAGUCUGAUGUGAAAGCCCGGGGCUCAACCUCGGAACUGCAUUGGAAACUGGUAGACUUGAGUAUGUGAGGGGUCAGUGGAAUUCCUGGUGUAGGGGUGAAAUCCGUAGAGAUCAGGAGGAACACCGGUGGCGAAGGCGACUGACUGGAACAUAACUGACGCUGAGGCGCGAAAGCGUGGG